AUCUCUUCUUUGUUCUGCAGCAAUGGAUCAUAGCUCUUUCUCCUUCCCGCUACAGCUGGAAGAGAAAUGGAAGAGAAAUAAUGAAUUCAGUCUUUUAGACACUUCAUCCGCCCUUUUGUCAGUGGAUGGGCCAAAUUCAGCAUAAGGUUUCCAGUUCUACCUCAACUCUGAGGCUCUGGCCAGAAAACUGGCUUCCCAGGUCUUCAGCAGGAAUCUGUCUCCUGCGGUCCAAGGCAGCACUGCCGCCCUUGACUCUGGCUGCCUGUAAUGACGCCUUCCUGGAACCUGUAACGAUUCAAGUCCACACGCCCGAGGAGAAUGUUCUGGUGCAUUUAGGCCAAAGAAGCGCUGAGAAGGUGGCCUGGCUCAGAUCACCAGCGGGGAUAAGCAGGCAAUCGCUGGGGGACUGCCAGAGAUGUGUUAUCUGAGGAGGAUCCCACUACUAAUCCAUUCCCAACAUUUGAAGACUCUGACCUGAGGU